rnacentral:rRNA from 1 species
CCUACGGGAGGCAGCAGUGAGGAAUAUUGGUCAAUGGCCGGAAGGCUGAACCAGCCAUGCCGCGUGAAGGUCAGUGCCCUAUGGGCGUUAAACUUCUUUUGUGCGGGAGCAAUAAUGGUCACGUGUGGCCAGACGAGAGUACCGUACGAAUAAGCAUCGGCUAACUCCGUGCCAGCAGCCGCGGUUAUACGGGGGAUGCAAGCGUUAUCCGGAUUUAUUGGGUUUAAAGGGUGCGUAGGCUGUGAGGUAAGUCAGCGGUGAAAUGCCCGCGCUCAACGGGGUGAAGUGCAAUUGAUACUGCCUGGCUGGAAUGCGGAUGCCGUGGGAGGAAUGUGUGGUGUAGCGGUGAAAUGCAUAGAUAUCACACAGAACACCGAUUGCGAAGGCAUCUCACGAAUCCGCGAUUGACGCUGAUGCACGAAAGCGUGGGUAUCAAACAGGAUUAGAUACCCUAGUAGUC